UACGAAGGGUGCAAGCGUUACUCGGAAUUACUGGGCGUAAAGCGUGCGCAGGCGGUUCGCCAAGUCAGGUGUGAAAUCCCCGGGCUUAACCUGGGAAUUGCGCUUGAAACUAGCGGGCUUGAGUGUGGCAGAGGGGGGUGGAAUUCCACGUGUAGCAGUGAAAUGCGUAGAGAUGUGGAGGAACACCGAUGGCGAAGGCAGCCCCCUGGGUCAACACUGACGCUCAUGCCCGAAAGCGUGGGGAGCAAACAGG
rnacentral:rRNA from 1 species